GCGCUGCUGAGUAGUCCCGCAAUAGGACGAAACGGCCGUCCAGUGC
rfam:Schistosoma curassoni strain Dakar, Senegal genome assembly, scaffold: SCTD_contig0006505